UGAGCAAUCUGCCCUUCUCUUCGGAAUAAGCGUGGGAAACCGCGUCUAAUGCCGAAUACGACCUCCUUUCGCAUGAUCGGAGGUGGAAAGCUCCGGCGGAGAAGGAUGAGCUCGCGGCCUAUCAGCUAGUUGGUGUGGGUAAUGGCCCACCAAGGCGACGACGGGUAGCCGGCCUGAGAGGGUGACCGGCCACACUGGGACUGAGACACGGCCCAGACCUCCGUACGGGAGGCAGCG
rnacentral:rRNA from 1 species